GUGUUUUUUUUUUUUUGACGAGUAAAGAAAGAAAGGAACGAACCGGCAUGGACGAGCCCUAUCCUGCCGAGCCGCCGCUGCCGCCCGCCGACCGCCGCCAUGUCUCGUUCUCACUGCCAGGCGGCCAGCCCCGUGCGGCAGCGGGCAGUACUCCCCUUCCCAUAUCCCGCGACAGGCCCGGCAUGCUGCCCGGCGAGGCGGUGACCCGGUUCGUCCAGUCCAGCAGUGCCCGUCCAGGUCUCGAGAAGCAACCGCGGCGGCCGGCGCCCUUCGGCAUUCCGCCUCAGCGGCUCACACACAGAGGGUUAUCCCCGUCUCCAGCUCUCCCAAAUUCCAGCUUGUUAGAUGUCACAGUUUGAUGCCUGAUUGAAGCAUGACCUUAGUUCUUAAUGCUUUCCCCUUUAUAUGCUGUUUCCUUCCUUUAGUUUUGUAUAUACAAUUCUGCAGUCCUGUAAAUGUGGGUACUGAUUUUAUAAAUUCUAGUUUUAUAAUUAUGCAGUUUUAUAUAACUAUUUUUACCUGCUAUUUAUGAUUUGCAUUUCAAAAAUUUAUCCUAGAAGGUUUAGCUUCUACUACCAUUGAAGUUGUAUCCAUGAGAGGCUCAGAUCAAUCAGUACGUUCAUUUGAUACCAUCUUUUGUAUCAUCUAUGUUAUAUAUUGUCCUUUGACAUGUCUUACUUUAUUGGUUGGAUCAUCACUGAACAAAUACUGUUAUUGAAUAUUAUAUUUGGGUUUUGAUGGGGUAUGCAACAUAACUUCACUUUUGUAUGCCGUGAAAUUGGGUAUUUUUGGUAUUUUUGCCCUUAGUUUUUCGCCUGGGGUAUCGGCCAAUCCUGGCUCCGCCACUGACCAUGGUGUACUCUCGCAAAAAUAAAUAAAUUGAUACUUGCACCCAGCGGACACCUUGCCUGAUGCUCAAGUAGAAAUAUAAUACUCGGCGCAAAUGAUCAACGUUCCCUAAAGAGACUUGAUAUACUAGUGGAAACCUUGCUUGAUGCUCAACAGCUCAAGUAGAAUUAUAAUACUCGGCGCAGAUGAUCAACAUUCCCUAAAGACUAAAGAGAUUUGAUAUACUUAGUGGAUACCUUACUUGAUGUUCAAGUAGAAAUAUAAUACUCGGCGCAAAGAGACUCGAUAUUGCUAGUACUAGCUCUUUGACUCUGGUGGCCUGCUCAUUUCACCCAUCAGUGCUGAGUAAUACUCUGAAAGAGCCGAGAUCUUCUCCCUCGUCAUAAACUGAGGUAUAACCGCCAAAGCACGUUUUGUAAAUUUCUUUUCACCUGUUCACUACACGCUUCUUUAUAUUUUUCUACAUCUACCUGAUCCUGAUGUUCCUGAGCAGAUUAAGUAGACUUUAGUUAUCUAGCUGUUUAAGUCGCACGCACGCUUAAAUAUGUAUGAAUAUGCAUGAAUUUGAACCCCGCUUGAUUUGUAGGAUAAAUUAUCCAGGACGCCGGAGCCAUGGCUGUUGUCCUGGACGCUUUCGUGCCAUACGUGAAGAAGAUGAUUACCAGCAUGGCGGAAGAGGAGGUGCGCAUGCUGCUGGGCGUCUCUGGCGAGAUCAAGAGGCUGGAGGCCAACCUGGUGUACCUGCAGGGCUACCUGGCCGAUGCAGAGAGGAGGCACAUCACCGACAAAAGCGUGAAGGUGUGGGUGGGGAGGCUCAAGGACGCCAUGUACGAGGCUACCGACAUCCUCGAGCUCUGUCAACUGGAGGCCAUGGAGCGACCGAAGGAGAGCGGGCGUAAUGCCUCCAGCUCCACCCGCUUCCGUUCUCUCGUAGGGCAGCUGAAGAAGAAGCUGCAGGGCUUCCUCGAUCCGCUUCUGUUCUGCCUGCAGAACCCGGCCUUCACCCAUGAGAUCGGCGGCCGGAUCAAGAGGCUGAACGGGAAGCUGGACAGCGUCCGCAAGGACGCCCUGGUGUUCAACUUCCAUGCCAACUUCGGUUCAUACGAGGAACGGAGGCAGCCGUCGGAUCCGGCGAGCCACAGCAGGAUCAACAGGACGACGCCAGGGUUCGACGAGUCAUCCAUCGUGGGGGACAAGGUCGAGAUGGACACAGAGGAGUUGGUGCACAAGCUCACCAGCCACGGCCACGACAUGGCAUCCGCCAGGGUGAAGGUGGUGUCCAUCGUCGGCCCGGGCGGCAUGGGCAAGAGCACCCUCGCCAAGAAGGUCUUCGCGCAGGAGGCCAUCAAGGUGGAGUUCAAGACCAGGAUAUGGCUGGGCAUCACCCGGCGCUUCGACAAGGCGGAGCUGCUGAGAGCCGCCAUCACGCACGCCGGUGGCAAGCAUGGCGGCGAGAGGGAUGAGUCCAUGCUCGAGACAGCCCUCACCGAUGCCCUGUUGGCCAACAGAUUCCUGUUGGUCUUGGAUGACGUGUGGAGCGACCGAGCAUGGAAGGAGGUGCUCCAGGUUCCCGUCGUCAACGCCGGUCGGAGGCACCCGGGGAGCCGCGUCCUUGUCACCACGAGGAACGAAGACGUCGCUUUCAGGAUGGGAGCCUCCGGCAGCGAUCAAAUCCAUGUCAGCAAACUGGACGAGGAUGAUGCCUGGUCCUUGCUCAAAAAACAGCUGCCACAAUUGCAGGUCAGCAAUUCACUCAGCUCAUUUGUUUUGACCAAAACCAAACAAAUUGCAAACCUUAAAAAGGCGCACAUCUGAUUUGACCAUUUUAAUCUACUCCAGCUUUAUAUAUUAUUUUGCAAAUUAAACUUGCCUUUCUGUUUUCAUUUUAGUGUUUUCCUAUAAUUUUAUGAUAUUAUAAUGGGGUUUUCCAAAACUUGGUAACAUGGCAUGUGACGUGAUCUCAUGUCAAGUCAAAACGAGUUUAACUCGUCUCAUGGGUGUACUUUGUCAAAUUUUGAUAGUCAAUUGCUCAAUUUAGCUAUUUUUUAGUUGAAGUGUGUAAUCUAAACUCUAGCAAUAGUUGAGGUCCAAAAUGCUCUCUUUUCCUUUUCGAUAUUUGAAAAGCAUGUGAUUACUUUUAGUUUUUUUAUUUUCUGUUUCUAAAAUUUUGUAUAUUAAUACUUUUAUAUUUGAAUACUAAUAUUUUAUUCCCUUUUUUUAUAUUAAAUAUCAAUAUUUUUGUUCCAAAAUAGAUAUUGAAACUAUUUUAAUUUUCCUACCCACGUUUGUAGAUUCUGAGAUUUCGCUAGUUGGAAAUUAUACCUGUUGUUUUGGGGAUUGUCAGCUGUUAAUGAUGAUCUUUGCAUAUUCUGAGGAAACAUUCACUUACACAAGAUGUACAUUUUGUGUAUACUUGGAUUGGAUAAUACCAUUUUUAAUUCUAAUUUUUAAUAAUUUAUAGACACCAUACUUUUUACAAAAUUUACCAGUGGACAUUUCUGUACAUGUACUGCUACUUGAUGUAAGGACGUCAUAUAUUUACUACAAAUACAUACAAACAUAUAUAGUACAAUUCCUAAUUCUUAUAUUGUUGCAGGAUGACGAGAGUCACUUUGAUCAGCUAAAAGAUGUUGGGAUGAAGAUCAUUGAAAAAUGUGACGGUUUACCACUUGCCAUUAAAGUGAUGGGAGGACUCUUAAGCACAAGACACCCAAGCGAACGUGAAUGGGAGAUUGUUCUGAACAAGAAUCUCGAAUGGGAAGAGCAUGGGUCACAGGAGGAACUGAACUACUCGGUACAUCUGAGCUACGACGAUCUAUCUCCAGAGCUGAAGCAGUGCUUUCUAUAUUACUCACUCUUCCCCAAGGGUUCAGAAUUCCUAGAGGAUAUAGCCAUUAGCAUGUGGGUUAGUGAAGGGUUUGUUCAGGCCGACGAGAGGUCAGAGUCAGACCAACUAGACCUAGAGGAGAUAGGAGCUGAGUACCACCGGGAGUUAGUCGCCAGGAACCUUCUAGAGACCAACGAGUCAGCUGAGAGCGGAUGGGCCUACAUCAUGCACGAUGUUGUCCGUUCCUUUGCUCGGUUUGUGGCUAGGGAAGAAGCUCUUGUGGUUCUCAAGGAGCAGACCGACAUUAGAAGCCUUCUUUCACAUAACCAGAGAAUCCGCCGUCUGUCCAUGAAAUUAACCAAUUCAGUACUGGAGUGGGAUAUCCUAGAAAAGCUGGAAUCACUAAGGACACUGGUUAUAGCCUGCAACUUCAAGCCCGGCAGUGGUUCUGGUCCUUCACUUGCUUCUUCUUUUGCUAGCUUACGGGCACUGGAUAUCAGCUUUGCAGACUGCGACUGGUUGGUCGACCAUUUGUCUCAGCUGAGGCACCUACGGUAUUUGUCCUUCACUCAGACGGAUGUAUCUAGGCUGCCCCAUGACAUCCACAAGAUGAAGUUCCUUGAGCACAUUGCACUGUUCAACUGCAGGAAGCUGGACAAGCUUCCUGACGGCAUCGUAAAGCUGGGGCGUCUAAGGUAUCUCUCCAUAGAUGGGUCCAGUGUUGAUGUUGUGCCCAAGGGGUUUGGCGCGCUGACGAAUCUGAGGUCAGUCUAUGGGUUUCCGGCAAAGAUGGUUGGGGACUGGUGUACUUUAGAAGAACUGGAGCAUCUCUUUCAUCUUAGGACUCUUAGGAUACAUGGUCUGGAAAAUGUGCCUGGUGGUUCAGUGGCGGCAAGGGCCAUGAUCGGCAGCAAGAAGCAUCUCAGCUUUCUGGACUUGAUCUGCCACAAGAAUGAGGAGGAAGAUGGAGUGGGAGGAGAACAGAUUCCUGAAAAGGACCAGGAGCGAAUUGAGGCGGUGUUCGAUGAGCUCUGCCCACCGCCGUACCUGGAGGAUCUGUUCAUGGCAGGAUACUUCGGCCGUCGGCUGCCAUACUGGAUGCGGGCGCCAACUGCAAUGGCCUUCAAGAGCUUGACUGGCAUCACGCUAACGCGUCUGCGUUGUUGCACCCAGCUACCCGACGGAUUGUGCGGGAUGGUCAGCCUGGAAGGGCUGGCGGUCAACUGGGCUCCGGCCAUCAAGCUCGUCGGGCCCGACUUCCAAGCCCUUCCAAGUGGAAAUGGCGGCGCUGGUGACCUCUUCGUGACAAGACCGUUCCCUAAGCUGAAGAACCUGAAGCUGCACAACAUGACGGGAUGGGAGGAGUGGGACUGGGCGGAGGAGGAGCAGGGCGGGGCCAUCUCCAUGCCUGCACUGGAGUAUCUCAGCAUCAUCCAUUGCAUGCUCAGCCGUCUCCCCCCGGGACUUGCUAGCAGCAACAGGUAUAACCUGAGAACGCUCGACCUCAGCAAGCUCAGCGCCCUAGCGUCGCUGGAGAAUUUCCCUUCGGUCAUGGAGCUCGAUGUGCUCUACUGCCCCAAGCUCAAGAAGAUCAGUGGCUUCGCGAUGCUCCGAAGGAUGGCCAUCACUGAUUGCCCGGAGCUGGAGACGCUGGAAGGUGUCCCGGUGCUCAAGAGCUUGCUGCUGAAUGAUGAGCCAUGGGAGAUUGUCGGGACGUCUGCGUAUCAAGCUGGACAGCCGCGUCAGCUCCCACAAAACCUCACCAUUACCAGGUAGCUCUGAUCUUAGAGAUGACUGACGUCUGAUAUCUGAUGACAGAAGGCGCUAUCGGCUGUCUGCCCCCCAUGCUUGAGAAAAUAUAACAAGAGGGACUGUAAUGUAAGAAUGUAGCGAGUGACUGCAAUAUAUUUCUCUUCCACUGAAGUUCUCCUUCGACUUUGAGCAUUCACCUUGACCAACAAUUAGUUUUCAGGCUUGGCGCCUGUGAAUGGAUGACUGAAUCCGUGGAGGCAUCAACAUUUUCAUACUUGUAAUUUUGUCAGGUUUCCUUACAUGGGUCACGGCCAACCUACCUCUGUUCGGCACCGCAGCUUGAGUGGACGGAGUGAGAGCACAAAAUGCAUUAAUAUUUUACUUCAUGGAAACGACCGAACGAGCAUUAACAUAUUAGAGCAUCUCUAGCCGCAUCUCCAACAGGCCCUCAGAGCGACUUUUUUUGCACCGGCGCCGAAAAUACCCACAGUCACGCUCCCAAGACGUCGAAAUCCGUCGGCUUGGCCCGUUUUUGGUCCCGGCGAUCCCAGGCCAAACCCAGCGCACUGGGCGCUUGGAGGCUCCGGUGGAAGUGAAAAUCACGCCUGAGCCACACUGUCAGGCAAAAAAUCAAGGUAAUCGUNNNNNNNNNNNNNNNNNNNNNNNNNNNNNNNNNNNNNNNNNNNNNNNNNNNNNNNNNNNNNNNNNNNNNNNNNNNNNNNNNNNNNNNNNNNNNNNNNNNNNNNNNNNNNNNNNNNNNNNNNNNNNNNNNNNNNNNNNNNNNNNNNNNNNNNNNNNNNNNNNNNNNNNNNNNNNNNNNNNNNNNNNNNNNNNNNNNNNNNNNNNNNNNNNNNNNNNNNNNNNNNNNNNNNNNNNNNNNNNNNNNNNNNNNNNNNNNNNNNNNNNNNNNNNNNNNNNNNNNNNNNNNNNNNNNNNNNNNNNNNNNNNNNNNNNNNNNNNNNNNNNNNNNNNNNNNNNNNNNNNNNNNNNNNNNNNNNNNNNNCCGAUCCCGGCGCCGCCCAGCGCCCACCACCGCCCCCACCCCCGCGCGCUCUGCCGUUACCCUGCCGAUCCCGGCGCUGCCUACCGCUCAUCACCGCUAGAUAGGCCAUUCCCCGCCGGAAAAAAGAGAAGGUUUCGCCGCGGCAACCUCUCCACCACUUUCCUGGGCGGGUUUUCCGGCGCUCCGGCCGCGCAGGGUGGGAUACCGGCGGCUGUGCGCCCACCACGCCUGCCAGGUGUUCGGCGAUUUGCCUGCUGGACGAUGGACUCGGACGACGAGGAGGCGCUCACGGCGCUGCUAGAGGAGGAAGCCGAUGCCGACGUCUAGGAUGCGGAGCAUCUCAUCGUCGGCGAGGUGGCUCGGCACCGGGGCGGCUGAAAGCAAAGAACCGACAUCAUUUGGAAGACUAUUGCAUGCUCUACACUGACUACUUCGCCGACGCUCCACUGCACGGCGACAAAGUAUUUCGGCGCCAUUAUCGGAUGAGCCGGAAGCUUCCCGUCAGGAUUGUGAAUUCCAUCCGGGUGUUCGACAACUACUUCAAGUGCAAGAAGGAUUGCACCGGCAAACUUGGAUUCACCUCAAUCCAGAAGUGCACGACAGCUAUGAGGAUACUUGCAUAUGGAGCUCCCGGUGAUUCACUCGACGACUAUGGGUGCAUGACCAAGUCCACGACCAUUGAGUGUUUCUACAAGUUUCGCAGGACAGUGGUGGUAGUGUUUGGACCGCAAUAUUCGCGAUCACCUAAUGCUGAACACACUGCUCGGAUCCUAACAUAGAAUGCAGCAAGAUGAUUUUCUGGGAUGCUUGAAAGCAUCGACUGCAUGCAUUGGAAAUGGAAAAACUGUCCAUUUGCUUGACAGGGGAUGUACGAAGGCGUCAAAGGCGGUUGUAGUAUGGUACUUGAGGCAGUGGCCACACAUGACCUCUGGAUUUGGCACUCCUUCUUUGUUAUGCCAGGAACUCACAAUGACAUCAUCGUGCUGCAGUGCUCCCUUGUCUUUGCCAAGCUUGUUGAAGGUCAUUCUCCUUCGGUGAACUUCGAGGUCAAUGGGUGGCACUACAACAAAUGAUACUACCUAGAAGAUGGCAUCUAUCCGAGAUGGUCUACAUUUGUGAAGACUAUCUCAAACCCUGUGUCAGGAAGCAAGAACUCCUACUUUGCGAAGGUUCAGGAGGCUUACAGAAAAGAUGUCGAGCGGGCAUUUGGUGUGCUUCAAUCUCGAUUUGCUAUUGUCCGGUACCUCGUUCAGACCUGGUCGAAAGAUCAAAUGUGGGAAGUCAUGACUUGCUGUGUCUCUUGCACAACAUGAUCAUUGAGAGCGAGCAGGAAGAGCCAGUGUUCGACACUGGACCUAUUACAGGCAGGGUCCUCUUGCCCAAGUUGAUCACCAGUUACCGACAAACUGAACGACCUUCCUCAAUAUGCGUUAGGAAAUCCGAGACCCACAGGUGCAUCAACGACUACAACAAAAUUUGAUGAAGCACCUAUGAAGGCUCAAGGACAACGCCUAGCUCGACGUGUGAUGAAAUAUGAAUUUUUAUUUAUUGAACUAUAUAAUUUAUAUCGAACUAUUUGUUGUUGAACUAUUUAAUUUGUAUCGAACUAUUUAUUGAACUAUUUGAUUUUUAUUGAUUUUCUGUGAUGUGAUAAAAAUAAUUUAUGUAUCUAUUUAUUGAACUAUUUGAUUUUUAUUGAUUUUCUGUGUUGUGAUAAAAAUAAUUUAUGUUGAAUUUACGUCGAAGCACGACAAAUAUGAGCUGUUUUACACAGAUAACAGGCCGAUUUUGGAUCGAUAAUGGGCUGAGAAGUGGGCAAAACAGGCCGAUAUCGAGUGCUGGGAAUCCAAUCGCCUUCAAGCCGAUUUUAUCGCCGGUUCGUCCUCAGGUGACAACCAAACAACGAUGGAUGAAUGUCAGGGAUACCAUGACUUGCAUGCUUUCAUGAUACCAAUUAAAAAAGAAUCUUUCAAAACAUUCUGAAUGUGUCUACAAUCCUAAAAAAUUCGGAUCAAAAUUCCAAGUACACAAAGAAAAAAAAACAAAUUCAGCAAAAUAGUGUCAAUAAAGACAAAAUCAUGAACAAUGUCAAAACCUACACUAUUCACAUUCAGUUUUAACUUUUUUGUUUCUCUCUGUAUGCUUUGAAUUUUGAUCUGAAUUUUUUAGGCUGGUAGACAUGUGUGUUGUGAACAUUCAUAAUUUUUGACGGAAUUUUUUGAAACAUUUAAAUUUGAGUUUUAAAAAUCAAUAUCAUGGAUCUUUCCGCCAUACUCCGUAGUGGAUAUCAGGAUGUUGACAGCUUGAAAUCAUGAGCAUGGUCUGUACGCUUAAGGACGAAAUUACUUACAGUACGGAGUACUUUAUUAUUAUUGUUAUUAUUACACCAUUUGUGGAACUUAAAACGAGAACUCUGAACACCAAGAUACAUCUCUCGUCAGUCAGACAUUCUCGCCCGACGUCGACAUACGGACUCGGACACACCACAGGAAUGUGGAGCUCCAGAGGAACUAAAAGGAAAGAAAGCAUUAUGCAACCGCGACAGGUAUAUAUCUAGUGGCGGCUCUUUGUGAUGGUCUCGGUGGUGCUCGCGUCCUUGGUUUCGCUGGAGGUGCUGUCUCCCCCCAUCCCCAGCGUGCUCGCCACCGCGUCUUUCGCGCCGACCACCGCGUUCUUCACUUGCUCGCCGGCCUACACGAAAACCAAGUUCAGCUUCAGCAUACGCAGCACAAACAGAACACUGGAACACAAUGUCGUCUUUGAUUAGUGUAAGUGGCCGACCCACUAACCUGGCUGAGGACGCUGCCGGUCUUGUCCUUGCCGGCGACGGCGGAGUCCUUGGUGUACUGCGCCGCGUCGGAGGCCCUGUCCUGCGUGUACCCCGUCGCCUCGGAGGCCUUCUGCUUGGCCGCCUCGGCCGUGCGGCCGAGGUAGCUGCCGGUCUGGUCCUUGCCCUCGGCGGCCCGGUCCUUGGCGGCCUGGGCCGUCUCGGACGUCUUCUGCCCUGCCUCGCCGGCCUUCUGCUUCGUGGCCUCCACGGCGCCCUGCCCCUUCCCCGUCGCGUCACACGCCCGGUCCUUGGCCUCGCACGCCUUGUCCUUGGUCGCGCCGGUCACCUGUCCGGCCUUCUCCUGCAACGUACGAGCGAUGGAUGGAAGCAUUUCAGCAGACUGAACACGGAGGGUGUGCUCCGGCAACAACUUGAAGAAGAUCGGCCGAGAUGGUCACCUCGGUGUGGGCCUUGGCCUCGCCGGCGCGGUAGCUUGCCUUGUCCUGGUUGGAGGCCAUGGCUGCUGCUCAAACAAACACUGGACUGGAGGACAGACACGAACUGAGAUCUCUUGGGAAAUGGAAAAGCAAGAUCACUUUUGGCUAAUGGUUAACUCGGAUCAGCUGC
rnacentral:lncRNA from 1 species